rnacentral:tmRNA from 2 species
AUCAUUGCUUUUUGGGGUUUCCCGCCCUAUAAUAAAGAUGUCGGGUUAAACCGACUAAGAUGCUAAACGCUUUAUGGAAUAGGCGUCAUGGACCCGGGGGCAGUGCCCGGCGGCUCCACCAUAUACAACUUACUCUCUGCAAAAGGUUUUAUAUGUUGGGGCCGAAACAGGAUCGACAUGAGCAAUAAAGAUAAAGUUUGUAUCCGUAUGAGACACGGUCGUCAUCCGUUCAAGCAUGAUAAAUGCAAAUGAUAACGUACAGACCGUAGCAGCUAAUGACAACGUUUACGUUGCCGUUGGUGGUAAAAUCGCUGCUUAAUUGCACUGAUGAAGCUACAUAAUCCCUAAGGCUUCGGCUGAGGGUGGGGCGCGGGGCGGCCUAGCAACAGAAUUGCCCCAUU